GGGGUGGGUGGGGGGUGGGGGACCCAGGCACAGACACAAACAGACAGGCUCAGUGGUUAUAAUGAAUAAAAGGGUCUUUAUUACGAAAACUCCAAAACUCAAAUAUCGUGACUAGAACUGGGGGGAGGCAGGACAGAAACCAAACUAACUACAACUGUGGCACAAAAAGCUCUAUAUAACAACAACUGAGGGGAAGUACUCGCAAACUAGAGAAAACUACAAACCAAAAGAGCAAAACAGGCUGAGGUUAAUCCAGAGUCCACGGGGGGAAAUCCAUGAAGGGGGAAAGGCAGCAAAGUCCAAAGCCGACACAGUUCAGAGGCCAGUUUUGUCAAACAAUGGUCCAGCAAAGACUGAGGAAAGCAGAGGGCUUAAAUAGCUGAGGGAACAGGUGAGUGGAAUUGGACUGAUUGCCUGCAGCUGAUACCAAGCAGCAAUUAGUCGGCUGAGUGCAGGGAGACCGGGGCGAGCGAACUGGGAGAGAGAGACGGGAGGAAAAAAGACAGGAGCAGGAACAGGACCAUAACAAAUUUAAUAAUUACUUUGUGAAUAUUGGUCCGAAUUUUUUUCCAUAACAAAGCUUUUGAAACAAAUACCUGGAGUAUGUAACAUUUGUAUGUUUGAACAGUGCAAACUAUUAACAGUGACGAGAUAAGCUGUAUUUCUAUGGAGAGAAUUUUGUUUCUUUAUUAUUCAAUCAAUCAAGAAAGGUUUUGCAACCAAAAAAGAGAGUUGAGACCAAAAACAUAAAGUUGCAAUCAAAAAAUAAAAGAUCAAUCAAAUAGAAUAGAUCUGAGACCAAAAAAAUUUAAGUGGUAACCCCCCCCCAAAAAAAAAAAUCUUUUGAGAUCAAAACAGAACAGAUUGCAAAUGAAAAUAUAAUAAGUUCAGAACAUAUUGACUUAACUUCAAUCAAAACUAAUAUUUUUUGCUUGCAAGUUCAAAAGUUUUGCUUGCAAGCUCAAAAGUUUUGGUUGUGAAUUCUAAAGUUUUGCUUGCAAGCUCAAAAGAUUUGGUUGUGAAUUCUAAAUUUUUGCUUGCGAAUCUGACUGAACCAAAUGGAUGGGGCCAACGCUGGUGGAAGAGACAAGAGUUCCUGUUGGUCAGUUUGACGUUGCUCCACCGCCAGUCAUCGCCACUCCCCUCUGUGCUGUUGCUGGCUGCUUCCACGCUAGGUAAGUUGGUAGCUGGUUGCGCACAAAUUAAUUAUGCUAAAUAUUUUAGGCUACAACCGGCCGUACAUUCGUAACAACAAUAAUUAUAAGGCCCGGAUAGUGCAUGCACGCUGAUUAGCAUUGUUGUCUCGGCUUGUCCCGGCUUGAGCAGGGUAGACGGUGACAUGUCUAUGGCCGGUGAGGGUAGGGAGCAUAUGAGGCGGAUACAACGCAAGGCUGUGAUUGCAACAUGCAAUCGCGGGGUCACCGUUCCUACAAAACAGUAGCCCUGCUACCAUUGACUAUGAAACUUUAUCGACUAAUUGCGGGGCCAGUUUCCAGCGUGUAGCAGCCUGAUGCUGUGAGAGGGUGGAAGUGAGAUUGAACUGUGUGAACUGAGAUUCCGAGGGUGGGGUGCGGGGGGGCACAUAAACCGGCCACGCGAGUAUGGAUCUUUUCCUAUUGACAUUUUUCUGUCAGUUUGGGCCUCUCAGUUGCACUAACACGGAUAUUUCGCCCUCUCUAACAGAUAUUGUUGUAAAGGGAUAAAUAUAUGAAGGUUUUCCUAAAUAUGCCCUGCAAACUGGAGUUGAUGCGAAAACGAUGAGGACAUAGUCGAUAACCGAGCACAAGAAUGAGUAACCAAGCUGCGAGAUCACAAGUCCAGGUACAACAUUGUGAUUUAUGGAGCAAUUGAUGGCUUCUCAAGGAAGAUCUUCUAUCUGGAUGCGGCAGGACACAACAAAGCAGAAACAGCUUUCCAAUUCUUCAUAGAUGGAGUUGGGAAAUUUGGAUGGCCAUCAAGGCAAG